AUGCAGCACAUCUUCGCCUUCGGGCUGGCAACUGGGAAGCAUGCCAUGAGCUCGGAGGAGCCUCUUGGUUCUCCCAUGCCAGACUUCCAUGGGACCCCGGACGUCGAGGUCCUUGAUGGCCCUGACAAGCCCUUCGUGAAGCCCUUCGACAAGCCAUUUGACCCCGUCCAUGAUAGGAAGAGGAAGAGAGGAGGCCUGAUGGAGGAGGAGAUCAAUGUCUUUUGCAGCAUGACUGCGGCGGUGAAGGAGGUGGCAACAGCCAUCAGGGAGUGCAAGCCCCUCGACGUCCACCCUGACCUGUAUGGCGCUGUCAUGACCCAGGGUGGCUUCAGCGACGAGGCUCUCAUUGCAGCUCUCAGCCACCUGCUUGACAACAAGGCCCAGGAUGUUGGGUUCGUUGCCAUGGCAUACGCUCACAGGGUGUUGUGGCUUACGAGCUGGCUGGGCAAGCAGUACUACUAG
rnacentral:rRNA from 1 species